rnacentral:rRNA from 1 species
UACGGGGGGUGCAAGCGUUGUUCGGAUUUAUUGGGCGUAAAGGGCUCGUAGGCGGUCUGGCGCGUCGGGAGUGAAAACUCAGGGCUUAACCCUGAGCCUGCUUCCGAUACGGGCAGACUAGAGGUAUGCAGGGGAGAGCGGAAUUCCUGGUGUAGCGGUGGAAUGCGCAGAUAUCAGGAGGAACACCGGUGGCGAAGGCGGUUCUCUGGGCAUUACCUGACGCUGAGGAGCGAAAGUGUGGGGAGCGAACAGG